rnacentral:rRNA from 1 species
GGAUGCGAUCAUACCAGCACUAAAGCACCGGAUCCCAUCAGAACUCCGAAGUUAAGCGUGCUUGGACGAGAGUAGUACUAGGAUGGGUGACCUCCUGGGAGGUCCUCGUGUUGCAUUCC